rnacentral:piRNA from 1 species
UGGAUUAUGUGACUCUGUCAG